CAGCAGUAGCCGCGGUAAUACGGAGGGUGCAAGCGUUAAUCGGAAUUACUGGGCGUAAAGCGCACGCAGGCGGUUUGUUAAGUCGGAUGUGAAAUCCCUGAGCUUAACUUAGGAAUUGCAUUCGAUACUGGGAAGCUAGAGUAUGGGAGAGGAUGGUAGAAUUCCAGGUGUAGCGGUGAAAUGCGUAGAGAUCUGGAGGAAUACCGAUGGCGAAGGCAGCCAUCUGGCCUAAUACUGACGCUGAGGUACGAAAGCAUGGGGAGCAAACAGGAUUAGAUACCCGAGUAGUCCCUGUCUCUUAUAA
rnacentral:rRNA from 1 species